rnacentral:rRNA from 1 species
UGGGGAAUAUUGGACAAUGGGCGAAAGCCUGAUCCAGCCAUGCCGCGUGAGUGAUGAAGGCCUUAGGGUUGUAAAACUCUUUCGCCGGGGAAGAUAAUGACGGUACCCGGAGAAGAAGCUCCGGCUAACUUCGUGCCAGCAGCCGCGGUAAUACGAAGGGAGCUAGCGUUGUUCGGAAUUACUGGGCGUAAAGCGCACGUAGGCGGGCUAUUAAGUCAGGGGUGAAAUCCCGAGGCUCAACCUCGGAACUGCCUUUGAUACUGAUAGUCUUGAGAUCGGGAGAGGUGAGUGGAAUUCCUAGUGUAGAGGUGAAAUUCGUAGAUAUUAGGAAGAACACCGGUGGCGAAGGCGGCUCACUGGAUCGGUACUGACGCUGAGGUGCGAAAGCGUGGGGAGCAAACAGGAUUAGAUACCCCCGUAGUCCCUGAGCGGGCUGGCAAGGCGCAU